AUCCUGGCUCAGAAUGAACGCUGGUGGCGUGCUUAACACAUGCAAGUCGAACGAGAAAGGGUUCUUCGGAACCUGAUUAAAGUGGCGCACGGGUGAGUAACGCGUAGAUAAUCUACCUCUGGUGUUUGGGAUAACCCUUCGAAAGGGGGACUAAUACCGGAUAUAUUCGUAUCUGUAGGGAUAUGGAGGAAAGGUGGCCUCUGAUUUAAGCUAUCGCACUGGGAUGAGUCUGCGUACCAUUAGCUAGUUGGUGGGGUAAUGGCCUACCAAGGCGACGAUGGUUAGCGGGUCUGAGAGGAUGAUCCGUCACACUGGCACUGGAACACGGGCCAGACUCCUACGGGAGGCAGCAGGGAGGAAUUUUGCGCAAUGGGGG
rnacentral:rRNA from 1 species